rnacentral:rRNA from 1 species
UACGUAGACGGUUGGAUAAGUCAGAUGUGAAAGCCCCGGGCUCAACCUGGGAAUGGCAUUUGAGACUGUUCAGCUAGGGUGCGGAAGAGGGAAGCGGAAUUUCCGGUGUAGCGGUGAAAUACGUAGAUAUCGGAAGGAACACCAGUGGCGAAAGCGGCUUCCUGGUCCAGCACCGACGUUCAGGUACGAAAGCAUGGGGAGCAAACAGGAUUAGAUACCCUGGUAGUCCAUGCCAUAAACGAUGAGGACUAGACGUUGAGAGGGUAAGCCUCGCAGUGUCGUAGCUAACGCGCUAAGUCCUCCGCCUGGGGAGUACGGCCGCAAGGUUGAA